GCCGAAAUAGCUCAGUUGGGAGAGCGUUCGACUGAAGAUCUGAAGGUCCCUGGUUCAAACCCGGUUUUCGACA